rnacentral:rRNA from 1 species
UUUCGCCCAUUGUCCAAUAUUCCCCACUGCUGCCUCCCGUAGGAGUCUGGACCGUGUCUCAGUUCCAGUGUGACUGAUCAUCCUCUCAGACCAGUUACGGAUCGUCGCCUUGGUAGGCCUUUACCCCACCAACUAGCUAAUCCGACCUAGGCUCAUCUGAUAGCGUGAGGUCCGAAGAUCCCCCACUUUCUCCCUCAGGACGUAUGCGGUAUUAGCACCCGUUUCCGGACGUUAUCCCCCACUACCAGGCAGAUUCCUAGGCAUUACUCACCCGUCCGCCGCUGAAUCCAGGAGCAAGCUCCCUUCAUCCGCUCGACUUGCAUGUGUUAGGCCUGCCGCCAGCGUUCAAUCUGAGCCAGGAUCAAACCCU